AUUUUGAAACAAUUAAAUUUAUUCUAGUAUAAUUUGUUGAAAAUGGCUCUAUUUAGUUGUUAAAUGCUAUAGUUUCUCAAAAAUUAAGCUACUAUUUGUUUAAUUAAGGUUUUCGUAAGUAAUUGCUUCAAUAAUUCUGAUGUCAUCAAUUUUGUUAAAUUAAUUUUGCAUUUUUGCUGGUUUGAUUGAGAGAAAGAGAACGAUUAAGGUGAGCAAUCUUCUUAAUACUCUUCCUGUUCUACAGUCUUACCGUAGUACUACAUUUUUUUUAUCUUAUUUAUGGUUUCCUUGCGUUUUGUUUAAAUUUUUGUGUUUUCAAUUUUUCUGAUUCUGCUCAAAUUUUUUUAUUCUUUACUAUUCAAUUGAUCUAAAUGUAUUGGCUGACGAGAUCAUUGAAUUGUUUGUGAGCUAAUUGCAGCCCACCAUCCCAUUAUUGAGUCUUCAGAAGCAGGUGCAUGAGCAGUUGGUAUGCUGGAACCUACAGAAAUUUUGAGGGGUUUAGUAUUAUUUAGAGCUAGAUUCUUCAAGUUGUGCAGAAUUUGAGGGGUUCAAAUUAUUUAGAGCAAGAUUCUUCAAGUUUUGCUGAAUUCCUCUCUCAGUCUGUCACCUCCGACUGCUCAGCGGCGCCUUUGCGUUAAUUGAGAGCUCCAAUGGCGUUUCGAGGUGUGGGUUUUCAAUUGACAGCAACUAUAAAUUCGGAUAAGCAAAGGUGUUAUUGUGAUAUAUAACUUGGUGCUCGUUCUACUCAGAUUUCCACAGGUAAGAAGCCGCUGGUUAUACAGUGAAAAAUAAAAAAUAUCACCCCUCUGAGUGAAUGGGCAGCGUAUAAUUUUCUUCACCCUAAUUUGUAUGAAGAUGCUGAAUUUACUUCUGAGAUGAAGCGAAAUUGGGUUUAUAAUUUGAGUAUUCCUCAAUUUUCUUACUUACUCUCCAAGAUCCGCUCUCUUCAUACUUUAAUUUGUAAGGAUAUAGAGCUUUCUUAUAGGAUACCUCAUGCCUGUGAUGUUUGGAUUAAGAGACAGAAUGACAGGAAAUUGCCAUACCAAGAGAAGCAUGUCCGCCAACAGGCAUCGAUUCUUGGCAACUUGGAGGAUUUUGGGGUUUUGUCUGAGCAAUACUGUCAAUCUGAUCUCUUUGCUGUUGUUGAGUUUGGAGCUGGCAGGGGUUACUUAACCUAGAUAUUAGCUGAUUUUUAUGGGAUCAAUAAGGUCUUUUUGGUUGAGCGUAAGGCAUACAAGCUAAAGCUUACUUGCAGGAAGAAAUUGGAAAUAAAGAUUUUAACUGCAUAUGUUCUUGACAAGAUAUGCACAAGGUUACUACAAGAUUGUACGAAGUAUAGUGACUAGCCAUCUAACAAAUGGUGCAUAUAUGUUGGCGACUCUUAUUCAAGUCCGGCUUUAUGAAGAUUUGGAUAUUUCGGCUUAUAUAUAUGUUGACAAUUUGUAUUUUGGACGAUCAAAUUAAUUAUCUAACUUUUAUUUAUUAUUAGUACGGUAUGUCAUAUCAAAAAUAGGCAAGAAAUAUUUUGUAAUGUAUGUAUUUUGCAUUAUAAUUAUUAUAUAUAAAUGAUACUUUAAUUUGUUUAUGUUAGUAUAUUUAGAUUUGUACCGACUAAUUAAUAUUAUAUUACCAUUCCAUCCCAACAAAAAAAAA